rnacentral:lncRNA from 1 species
UUUUAAAUCCGCAAUAAUAUACAUGGCGUUAUCUUUAAAUUGAAACUCUCUUAUACAUGUGUUUUGAAAUUCAAUUCCAUCAUUUAAAUGAAACGACUAUGUUUUAGAUACUGGGUACAUAAUGCACACUGUACCCCUGUCCAAAACAUAAUUUACCAAAAAUUUCUACCUCCUAGUUAUGAACAACAAGUGUUUGAGG